UUUAAAUGGGCGAGCGGCACCGCCCGCCAAAACAAACGG
rfam:Potato leaf roll virus genomic RNA